rnacentral:rRNA from 1 species
AGCGAACGCUGGCGGCAGGCCUAAUACAUGCAAGUCGAGCGCACCUUCGGGUGAGCGGCGGACGGGUGAGUAACGCGUGGGAACGUGCCCUUUGGUACGGGAUAACUGAGGGAAACUUCAGCUAAUACCGUAUGUGCCCUACGGGGGAAAGAUUUAUCGCCAUUGGAGCGGCCCGCGCUGGAUUAGGUAGUUGGUGAGGUAAAGGCUCACCAAGCCUACGAUCCAUAGCUGGUCUGAGAGGAUGAUCAGCCACACUGGGACUGAGACACGGCCCAGACUCCUACGGGAGGCAGCAGUAGGGAAUCUUGCGCAAUGGGCGAAAGCCUGACGCAGCCAUGCCGCGUGUAUGAUGAAGGUCUAGGAUUGUAAAAUACUUUCACCGGGGAAGAUAAUGACGGUACCCGGAGAAGAAGCCCCGGCUAACUUCGUGCCAGCCGCCGCCGUAACAC